rnacentral:rRNA from 1 species
AUGGCUCGUGCUCCUCUGCUAGCAGUAGUGGUGGUGGCGGUGGCGCUGGCAUUGGCCAGCUCGCUUGGGCAUGGGGCUUUUGCGGCCGAGCAACCGGUGGCACGCGGCCUGUCGUUCGACUUCUACCGUCCAUCGUGCGAGACUUCGUCCAGGACGCCCUUCGCAAGGACAUCGGCCUCGCCGCGGGGCCUCCUCCGCCUCCACUUCCACGACUGCUUCGUGCAGGGCUGCGACGCCUCCGUGCUCCUCGACGGCUCGGCCACUGGCCCCGGGGAGCAGGAGGCGCCCCCCAACCUCACGCUCCGCCCCUCCGCCUUCAAGGCCGUCAACAACAUCCGGGAAAACGUCAUGCGGCUAAAGAAGAUGCAUUAG